rnacentral:rRNA from 1 species
AGCAGUGGGGAAUAUUGGACAAUGGGCGAAAGCCUGAUCCAGCCAUGCCGCGUGUGUGAAGAAGGUCUUCGGAUUGUAAAGCACUUUAAGUUGGGAGGAAGGGCAGUAAAUUAAUACUUUGCUGUUUUGACGUUACCGACAGAAUAAGCACCGGCUAACUCUGUGCCAGCAGCCGCGGUAAUACAGAGGGUGCAAGCGUUAAUCGGAAUUACUGGGCGUAAAGCGCGCGUAGGUGGUUCGUUAAGUUGGAUGUGAAAUCCCCGGGCUCAACCUGGGAACUGCAUUCAAAACUGACGAGCUAGAGUAUGGUAGAGGGUGGUGGAAUUUCCUGUGUAGCGGUGAAAUGCGUAGAUAUAGGAAGGAACACCAGUGGCGAAAGCGACCACCUGGACUGAUACUGACACUGAGG